ACAGCAUGACUAAGGUAAAGAAGAAGAGGAUAUAUUAAUUAACAUGAUUCAUAACACAGCAUGACUAAGGUAAAGAAGAAGAGGAUAUAUUAAUUAACAUGAUUCAUGACACAGCAUGACUAAGGCAAAGAAGAAGAGGAUAUAUUAAUUAACAUGAUUCAUAACACAGCAUGACUAAGGUAAAGAGGAAGAGGAUAUAUUAAUUAACAUGAUUCAUAAUGCAGCAUGACUAAGGUAAAGAGGAAGAGGAUAUAUUAAUUAACAUGAUUCAUAAUGCAGCAUGACUAAGGUAAAGAGGAAGAGGAUAUAUUAAUUAACAUGAUUCAUAAUGCAGCAUGACUAAGGUAAAGAAGAAGAGGAUAUAUUAAUAACAUGAUUCAUAAUGCAGCAUGACUAAGGUAAAGAGGAAGAGGAUAUAUUAAUUAACAUGAUUCAUAACACAGCAUGACUAAGGUAAAGAAGAAGAGGAUAUAUUAAUAACAUGAUUCAUAAUGCAGCAUGACUAAGGUAAAGAAGAAGAGGAUAUAUUAAUAACAUGAUUCAUAAUGCAGCAUGACUAAGGUAAAGAAGAAGAGGAUAUAUUAAUAACAUGAUUCAUAACGCAGCAUGACUAAGGUAAAGAAGAAGAGGAUAUAUUAAUAACAUGAUUCAUAACGCAGCAUGACUAAGGUAAAGAAGAAGAGGAUAUAUUAAUAACAUGAUUCAUAAUGCAGCAUGACUAAGGUAAAGAAGAAGAGGAUAUAUUAAUAACAUGAUUCAUAAUGCAGCAUGACUAAGGUAAAGAAGAAGAAGAAGAACAAGAAGAGGAACAAGACCAGGAGCAUUAUCUAGGGUCUGUGUAAAGCCUUUCUCUAAGCCCGCCCUGCACGCGGAGUUGUUGGUUGUGACGCCGCACGUCUCGGUGCUCUGAGCCAGAGCCGGAGGGCUUCCUGGCCCGCCGCUGCCCCUCCAUCUACGGGGCCAGGCUCUGGAGAUUCUUCUCAGCCUACUGGAGGGAUCUGAGGGAAGGAAAAGGGAAAUCAAUCAAAGUUCUUCCUCACUAAAGAUGUCACUUAAUAUGAACUAAAUACUGGCAGCCUCUUUGCUAUUUUUUGCCUUCAUUAAAUUCCUGGAGGGUCUGAGAGGAGGAAAAAGGAGUAUGAGUAACAGCAAAGGCACAGCUCUGCCUCACCAUAAGAUGUCAUUUACAGCAACUAAAAACACUGCGGCCAGCUUCCUAACUAUUUCUGGCCUUUGUUGAAUAUUUCCUGGAGGGUCUGGGAGGAGGGAGGGGAGAAGGGGCAGAGGGAAAGGAGGAAAGAAGGAACAGGAGAGAAGGAGGAAAGAAGGGAAGGAGUGGCAAAAUCACAGCUUUUCCUCACCAAUUGAUGUCAUUUAUACCAACUAAAAAAUGCUGGCAGGUUCCUAACUAUUUCUUGCCCCUGACAUAUUUCUGAUGCUGGCAGGUUCCUACUAUUUCUUGCCCCUGACAUAUUUCUGAUGCUGGCAGGUUCCUACUAUUUCUUGCCCCUGACAUAUUUCUGAUGCUGGCAGGUUCCCAACUAUUUCUUGCCCCUGACAUAUUUCUGAUGCUGGCAGGUUCCUACUAUUUCUUGCCCCUGACAUAUUUCUGAUGCUGGCAGGUUCCUACUAUUUCUUGCCCCUGACAUAUUUCUGAUGCUGGCAGGUUCCUACUAUUUCUUGCCCCUGACAUAUUUCUGAUGCUGGCAGGUUCCUAACUAUUUCUUGCCCCUGACAUAUUUCUGAUGCUGGCAGGUUCCUAACUAUUUCUUGCCCCUGACAUAUUUCUGAUGCUGGCAGGUUCCUAACUAUUUCUUGCCCCUGACAUAUUUCUGAUGCUGGCAGGUUCCUAACUAUUUCUUGACCCUGACAUAUUUCUGAUGCUGGCAGGUUCCUAACUAUUUCUUGCCCGUGACAUAUUUCUGAUGCUGGCAGGUUCCUAACUAUUUCUUGACCCUGACAUAUUUCUGAUGCUGGCAGGUUCCUACUAUUUCUUGACCCUGACAUAUUUCUGAUGCUGGCAGGUUCCUACUAUUUCUUGACCCUGACAUAUUUCUGAUGCUGGCAGGUUCCUAACUAUUUCUUGACCCUGACAUAUUUCUGAUGCUGGCAGGUUCCUAACUAUUUCUUGACCCUGACAUAUUUCUGAUGCUGGCAGGUUCCUACUAUUUCUUGACCCUGACAUAUUUCUGAUGCUGGCAGGUUCCUACUAUUUCUUGACCCUGACAUAUUUCUGAUGCUGGCAGGUUCCUAACUAUUUCUUGACCCUGACAUAUUUCUGAUGCUGGCAGGUUCCUAACUAUUUCUUGACCCUGACAUAUUUCUGAUGCUGGCAGGUUCCCAACUAUUUCUUGACCCUGACAUAUUUCUGAAGUGUUCUGGGGGGAGGAAAAAGGUGACAGGAGCACUGGAGAAAGUGAAGCUCUUCCUUACUAAAAGAUGUUGAUUAAUAAUAACAAAAAAAAAUCAUUGGCAGCUUCUAUGUUAUUUCCUGCCUCUGUUAAAUUGGUAGGGAGGAGGAAGAAGGUGGUGUGUGUGUGUGUGUGUGUGUGUGUGUGGCUGGAGGGAGGCAGCUAUUAGCAAGUUCAGAACAGCAGUGACUAUGAAA